UGGGGAAUAUUGGACAAUGGGCGAAAGCCUGAUCCAGCCAUGCCGCGUGUGUGAAGAAGGUCUUCGGAUUGUAAAGCACUUUAAGUUGGGAGGAAGGGCAUUAACCUAAUACGUUAGUGUUUUGACGUUACCGACAGAAUAACCACCGGCUAACCCUGUGCCAGCAGCCGCGGUAAUACAGAGGGUGCAAGCGUUAAUCGGAAUUACUGGGCGUAAAGCGCGCGUAGGUGGUUUGUUAAGUUGGAUGUGAAAUCCCCGGGCUCAACCUGGGAACUGCAUUCAAAACUGACUGACUAGAGUAUGGUAGAGGGUGGUGGAAUUUCCUGUGUAGCGGUGAAAUGCGUAGAUAUAGGAAGGAACACCAGUGGCGAAGGCGACCACCUGGACUAAUACUGACACUGAGGUGCGAAAGCGUGGGGAGCAAACA
rnacentral:rRNA from 1 species